rnacentral:rRNA from 1 species
GAUGAACGCUGGCGGCGUGCCUAAUACAUGCAAGUCGAACGAAACUUCUUUAUCACCGAGUGCUUGCACUCACCGAUAAAGAGUUGAGUGGCGAACGGGUGAGUAACACGUGGGCAACCUGCCCAAAAGAGGGGGAUAACACUUGGAAACAGGUGCUAAUACCGCAUAACCAUAGUUACCGCAUGGUAACUAUGUCAAAGGUGGCUAUACUACCGCUUUUGGAUGGGCCCGCGGCGCAUUAGCUAGUUGGUAGGGUAAAGGCUUACCAAGGCAAUGAUGCGUAGCCGAAUUGAGAGGUUGAUCGGCAACAUUGGGACUGAGACACGGCCCAAACUCCUACGGGAGGCAGCAGUAGGGAAUCUUCCACAAUGGGCGAAAGCCUGAUGGAGCAACGCCGCGUGGGUGAAGAAGGUCUUCGGAUCGUAAAACCCUGUUGUUAGAGAAGAAAGUGCGUGAGAGUAACUGUUCACGUUUCGACGGUAUCUAACCAGAAAGCCACGGCUAACUACGUG